rnacentral:rRNA from 1 species
GUUGAACGCUGGCGGAAUGCUUUACACAUGCAAGUCGAACGGCAGCACGGACUUCGGUCUGGUGGCGAGUGGUGAACGGGUGAGUAAUGUAUCGGAACGUGCCCAGUCGUGGGGGAUAACGUAGUGAAAAUUACGCUAAUACCGCAUACGAUCUAUGGAUGAAAGCGGGGGAUCGCAAGACCUCGCGCGAUUGGAGCGGCCGAUAUCAGAUUAGGUAGUUGGUGGGGUAAAGGCCCACCAAGCCAACGAUCUGUAGCUGGUCUGAGAGGACGACCAGCCACACUGGAACUGAGACACGGUCCAGACUCCUACGGGAGUCAGCAGUGGGGAAUUUUGGACAAUGGGCGAAAGCCUGAUCCAGCCAUUCCGCGUGCAGGAUGAAGGCCCUCGGGUUGUAAACUGCUUUUGUACAGAACGAAAAGGUUUCUACUAAUACUAGGAGCUCAUGACGGUACUGUAAGAAUAAGCACCGGCUAACUACGUGCCAGCCGCCGCCGUAA